rnacentral:rRNA from 1 species
GACGAACGCUGGCGGCGUGCCUAAUACAUGCAAGUCGAACGCUUCUUUCCUCCCGAGUGCUUGCACUCAAUUGGAAAGAGGAGUGGCGGACGGGUGAGUAACACGUGGGUAACCUACCCAUCAGAGGGGGAUAACACUUGGAAACAGGUGCUAAUACCGCAUAACAGUUUAUGCCGCAUGGCAUAAGAGUGAAAGGCGCUUUCGGGUGUCGUUGAUGGAUGGACCCGCGGUGCAUUAGCUAGUUGGUGAGGUAACGGCUCACCAAGGCCACGAUGCAUAGCCGACCUGAGAGGGUGAUCGGCCACACUUGGACUGAGACACGGCCCAGACUCCUACGGGAGGCAGCAGUAGGGAAUCUUCGGCAAUGGACGAAAGUCUGACCGAGCAACGCCGCGUGAGUGAAGAAGGUUUUCGGAUCGUAAAACUCUGUUGUUAGAGAAGAACAAGGACGUUAGUAACUGAACGUCCCCUGACGGUAUCUAACCAGAAAGCCACGGCUAACUACGUG